UUUAUGUUCCUUCCUAGAAUCUUCCAUUCUAAUGGCCGUGCACCAGAGUUGGGGCGUAUCUCCUGUCGAAGAACAUCUCUAGACAUUAUGAACCAUAUGACUAAGACUGAAAAUCAUCAAUAAAACACAAGUGGAUUGAUAGCUCCAACACCAAUUAAGCAGACCUGAGCAGCUGAUCAAGGAUCACCAGAAACUCUGCAGAACUUUGGUCCUCAAUACCCAGGACUGGAAACCAGAGUUGUAAGUCAUCAAUCUAGCAGUCAUCCUGCCUCUCUGAAUUGUCAUGUUUAGAACAUAUUUCAGGAGAUCUCAACAUUGUCUCUCGAGGUCCACUUACAUGUGUUUUGCUCCA